UGGCGAUCUGAGAGCUUGCUCUUGGGUGACGAGCGGCGGACGGGUGAGUAAUGUCUGGGAAACUGCCUGAUGGAGGGGGAUAACUACUGGAAACGGUAGCUAAUACCGCAUAACGUCGCAAGACCAAAGAGGGGGACCUUCGGGCCUCUUGCCAUCAGAUGUGCCCAGAUGGGAUUAGCUAGUAGGUGGGGUAAUGGCUCACCUAGGCGACGAUCCCUAGCUGGUCUGAGAGAAUGACCAGCCACACUGGAACUGAGACACGGUCCAGACUCCUACGGGAGGCAGCAGUGGGGAAUAUUGCACAAUGGGCGCAAGCCUGAUGCAGCCAUGCCGCGUGUGUGAAGAAGGCCUUCGGGUUGUAAAGCACUUUCAGCGAGGAGGAAGGUGGUGAACUUAAUACGUUCAUCAAUUGACGUUACUCGCAGAAGAAGCACCGGCUAACUCCGUGCCAGCAGCCGCGGUAAUACGGAGGGUGCAAGCGUUAAUCGGAAUUACUGGGCGUAAAGCGCACGCAGGCGGUUUGUUAAGUCAGAUGUGAAAUCCCCGGGCUCAACCUGGGAACUGCAUUUGAAACUGGCAAGCUAGAGUCUCGUAGAGGGGGGUAGAAUUCCAGGUGUAGCGGUGAAAUGCGUAGAGAUCUGGAGGAAUAC
rnacentral:rRNA from 1 species